AAAUUGAAGAGUUUGAUCAUGGCUCAGAUUGAACGCUGGCGGCAGGCCUAACACAUGCAAGUCGAGCGGUAGCACAGAGAGCUUGCUCUCGGGUGACGAGCGGCGGACGGGUGAGUAAUGUCUGGGAAACUGCCUGAUGGAGGGGGAUAACUACUGGAAACGGUAGCUAAUACCGCAUAAUGUCGCAAGACCAAAGUGGGGGACCUUCGGGCCUCAUGCCAUCAGAUGUGCCCAGAUGGGAUUAGCUAGUAGGUGGGGUAACGGCUCACCUAGGCGACGAUCCCUAGCUGGUCUGAGAGGAUGACCAGCCACACUGGAACUGAGACACGGUCCAGACUCCUACGGGAGGCAGCAGUGGGGAAUAUUGCACAAUGGGCGCAAGCCUGAUGCAGCCAUGCCGCGUGUGUGAAGAAGGCCUUCGGGUUGUAAAGCACUUUCAGCGGGGAGGAAGGCGCCAAGGUUAAUAACCUUGGCGAUUGACGUUACCCGCAGAAGAAGCACCGGCUAACUCCGUGCCAGCAGCCGCGGUAAUACGGAGGGUGCAAGCGUUAAUCGGAAUUACUGGGCGUAAAGCGCACGCAGGCGGUCUGUCAAGUCGGAUGUGAAAUCCCCGGGCUCAACCUGGGAACUGCAUUCGAAACUGGCAGGCUAGAGUCUUGUAGAGGGGGGUAGAAUUCCAGGUGUAGCGGUGAAAUGCGUAGAGAUCUGGAGGAAUACCGGUGGCGAAGGCGGCCCCCUGGACAAAGACUGACGCUCAGGUGCGAAAG
rnacentral:rRNA from 1 species